GACGAACGCUGGCGGCGUGCCUAAUACAUGCAAGUAGAACGCUGAAGCGAGGAGCUUGCUCUUCUUGGAUGAGUUGCGAACGGGUGAGUAACGCGUAGGUAACCUGCCUUGUAGCGGGGGAUAACUAUUGGAAACGAUAGCUAAUACCGCAUAACAAUGGAUGACACAUGUCAUUUAUUUGAAAGGGGCAAUUGCUCCACUACAAGAUGGACCUGCGUUGUAUUAGCUAGUAGGUGAGGUAAUGGCUCACCUAGGCGACGAUACAUAGCCGACCUGAGAGGGUGGUCGGCCACACUGGGACUGAGACCCGGCCCAGACUCCUUCGGGAGGCAGCAGUAGGGAAUCUUCGGCAAUGGGGGCAACCCUGACCGAGCAACGCCGCGUGAGUGAAGAAGAUUUUCGGAUCGUAAAGCUCUGUUGUAAGUCAAGAACGGGUGUGAGAGUGGAAAGUUCACACUGUAACGGUAGCUUACCAGAAAGGGACGGCUAACUACGUG
rnacentral:rRNA from 1 species